CAUGACGUCUUCUAUUUGUUUUUACCUGAUGAAAUAUGAGCCUUGGUUUGCUAUGCCCCCAAAGUCUUUUGGAUUUGGCCAGUGAAGUACACCAUAGAAUCCGAGGCCUUGAAAUAUCUUUGUUUUUAGCUUUUGUACAUUUUUUGGAUUGGCCUUGAAAUCCGAGGCCUUGUACCGAUACUCCGAGUAAAAUGAGGUGCACUGACUCUCUUUCUGAGGCCAUGGGCGAAUAUUUUCUGUAGACAUUGAACAGCUCUGAAAAUCGCCAGUGGUGAACCUGACACACUAACAAAUCUCUGAUCUGUAUUCCUCAAUUAUUUUGUCAGGUCGGCCAAUGAUGCAAAGGAAAUCAGUGUAGCCUGUGAUGAAUCAGAUAUUUUGACCUGAGUAUAUUUCUUGACCAUAAUCAGAGCAUUUCCAUUUAGGCACAUUGAAAUAUAUAUUAUUAGAUCUGAGACAUUUCACCUAUCCAUAAUCCAUAAUUACUUUUAAGCAUAAAUGACAUUACAUAUCAGUUUCUGCAUUGCAUUUCUUCUGUUUUGACUUUUGAGCAAAAAUGACGUAACAUUUCCUCUGUUUCUGCAUGUUGCUGACUUGCUUAUAUUGAAAUUUCUAUUCUGUCUAUGUAGCUUUUGCUUGUUUUGUACCAAAGAUUUUUGGAUUGGCCACUGAGUUAAAUGAUUCAGGUAACUGUUAAGUAAGUCAAAUACCUUGUCUUUUGUAUUGCAGAGUUGGCAAUGAUAAUGAUUUAUUGAUGCACAACUGAAUUUAAUCUACCUGAUUGCUUCUUCUGUGGGCCGGUGAUGUGAACCAUUCUCCUACGGUCUAGACCUGUGGGGAGGAUUUCCUAACCAUAUUUCCCAAGAGCUGAGGCCCUUAGCUUUAUCAACUUCUUUCUGUUUUCUCACUCCCAAGAAAUAGCAGUGGCAUUCUUGUUUGCCUUUUUCUGCAGCAGCAACUGCAGUACUUUGUGUCUUUUGUAUUGUUUGAAGAAAAAAUGAUUCAAUGAUGUAAAAUGUAUAUCAACCUGCUAUACUUUCAAGUCUGAACUUCCCCUAAUUCUUCCACUCCAAAUCAAAUGCACAUUUGCACUACUUCGUGUAGACAGGGUGCACUAGUCUUGUGGACUGCCAAUGAAGAAAUGAAGCAUAGGAAACAUUAGGUCCAAGUGUGCUCCUGUCAGUCAUAGGAAUAAAAAUCUGCUUUUUCAACCGUAGUUUGUUUUUCCCUAAGUCCUUCGGAUUGGCCAGUGAUGAAAAGUGAGUUGUACAGAUACUCUAUUGAGUUGAAUGAAGUACACCCAUAGAAUCUGAGGCUUUGAAUUAGCUCCGAUGGUGCUAUGAGCUUUUAUGUCACAUUUGAGCUUUUGUUUGUUUGUUUUUGGAUUGACCAGUGAUGAAAGCUUCUUUGCUAGUCUCAAUUUUUGGAUUGACUUCCAUCUUUUUGUACGAUGUAAUCGCCUGUGAUAAAUCUGAAACACUAACAAACCACUGAUCCGUAUUCUUGAAUGGUUUGUGUACAGAGCUCAUCAAAUUUCAUCACCUUUUUGAGACCUCUAUAGAAAGCUCAAGGACACCUGUGUAGCCUGAGGCGCUAGAAACAGGUAAUCACAUAAAUUUCGAUGGUACUCUGGAACUUGCAAUAGCUAAUCUUUGAAGUCUGGACUUUCUGCUUUUGCAUCAAAUGCAUAUUUGGAGUUCUUGAUGUCUUGCAUGUUCCAGUUAUAGCAUUACAGGGUGUACAAUCCAGCUUCUUGAUGAACUUAAUAGUGGAGUGUUCUUUAUUUUUACUAUAAAACAGUUUUAAUUUAUAACAUUUUUAAGCUUCUCAUAAGUUGAUAUUAUGACUGUUCCUUUUGAUCUGAUGAUGUAAUCCCUAGUGAAGUGCCAAUGAUGACCAUAUAUUGUACUUUCUAUGGCUCUAUCCGAGUUCUUUAUCUGGUGGAGACCGGUGAUUUUUGCAACUUCUGUUAUUUCUUGAAAGUAACUUUGAUGGAUUAUUGUGAUCUGAUAUCAUGUAUUCUUGCUCAUAACUGUUUUUAUGAAAAUACCAAUUGCUUGAUUUCCCUUUGCUUGAUUUUUAGAAUAAAUAUAUAUUUGGUUUUCUGAGCUCUGCUUUUCUGCUAAAAAGAGAAAUUUGUACUCCCUUGUUUCAUAAUAUAAUAUGUUUGACUUUUUGCUUGCAAUGUUUGACCAUUUGCCUUAUUUAGAAAAUUAUGAAAAUACUAUUUAUUUUGCUUGUGACUUACUUUAUUAUCAAAUAAACUUUAAACAUGACUUGCCAUUUUUUCUAUAAUUGUACUAAAUUAUAAAUGGUCAAAAGUUACAAGUAAAAAAGUUAAACAUCUUAUAUUAUAAAACGGAGGUAGUACCUAUCACCUGUUCACAGCGCAAUAACCAUUCUAUGAUGAAUUGUCCUUAGUGGAUUCCAAUGUGAAUCUGAUGACGUUUUGGUUCUAUGAGAACAUGCUAUGACAUGUCUGAGACAAUAAAGAUUUGGAGUUUUGACAUGAUUUGACAUGUAAAAUGGCUUUGAGCAAUGUUGACUGUAAUUGCAGCUAUGGGCCCAUGGUGUUCCAGACGUUGACAGUUGCAACGGGUCGAUGAAUAAUUCAGCACUUAGAGCUGAAGGUUGUUAUGCAUGCACGAGAGAUGUGGGAGCAGCAGGGAUGGUGACUACGUCAGGGUUGGCGUGAGUUCCGGAUCGUGGGAUGGCAUGAUUGUAGGCCUUGGAUUCUUUAAUUUUC
rnacentral:lncRNA from 1 species